GAUGGUCAAAGCGGUGCCUCCGCCGCUUAACGCCGUGUCGGUUCCCGAGACCAGUCAAUUUACCGUCUGUCUUUCUCACUCUCCUCUUCCUCACCAUGGCCGGCACGGUGCCGCUCCCCUCCGUGGCCACAACCAGCGCCGCCGCACUUUUCCGCACCCUCCUCCUCCCUUCCGUUUCUCCGCCACCGGUGCUUUCCCCUAUGCGCGCGUCCUCUCCCAUUCCCCUUCAGUAGGCGGCGGCGCUAUGGCAUCGGGGUGGGGCGCGCGCCGAUCUGCGUGCGGCGGUUCGGGUGGCAGCGAAGACGUCGUCGUGGAGGCAGGCCAGCAAGCAGGGAAAGGGCGCACCCUCUCUAUUCCCUAUCAGCAGGCGGCGGCUCCAUGGCAUCGGGGCGGGGCGCGACCUCGGGAGACAGUUGGGGUGGCCGCGAUGGCGUCGGUGUGGAAGCAGGCCGAAGGAAUUUGGGAGACGACGCCAUCGGCAAGGAUGCGGCCCAGCGAGCAUGGAGCGGGAACGAUGGAGACGCUCGCGACCACAGGUCCGGCGGCAACGAACAGCUACACGCGCCGGUGCGCAGGCGGCGCGACAUCCGUAUCGAGUAGCGAGGGCGGAGUCAGCGCCUCAGCGAAGCAGCGAUGGCAAUCGGCGGCCUGCGGGAAGCGUAUCAGCGGGCGCGGCCAGGCCAGGGCCAACGAUGGCGGACCAGCCGCCCCGGCGUUCCCCAGGACGAUGACCCGGUGGGUGAAUGAGCUCGACGGGCGGUACUCCCUCCCCCCUCCACCCUCUUCAUCUCUCUCUCGGGUGGAAGCCGAGAGACGACGAGGCUUCACGCCCUACGUGGAUGGAGGCACGACGGUCGUAAUCGUGGGAGUGUCCAUGGUGUCAAAGGGCGCCAACCAAGGCGAGCAGGGUGACGCGGCCGUGGCGAGGCGGCGGUGAGCAGAAUUUGGGAGCGGCCGACAAAGAUGGAGUCUAGCAGCACCGCGCGACCAACCAAGAAAUGAGCUAUCACGGUGCGCACAAGCAAUGUCGGUUACCAUCUCCAGCGUGCCAUGGGAUUGACCACGAGCCGUGCAGACUAGGACAAGGACGGUGGUGUGCACGCCAUGCCCUUGAUGAUCUUGAUGCCGCUGUAUCAUGGAGCUCUAGCUUGCUGCCUCAGAGUGUCACGAAGAACCUCUCAUUGGGAGCCGAAGCUUUCUGCCUUGCACAACAAAGGAAUUCAGGUGUUGGUUUUAUUGCUAGAUAUGACACGAAGGAAAUAGUAGGUAUUUUGUAUUUGUUAUCUCAUAUAGAAUAGUUAGGUAUUUGGAAUGUAUUACUCUGCAUUGACAAUAUAGUUGUAUUGAUAUACAGUGCCAUUCAUGGGGUAAGCAUUGCAUAUACUUGCUUUGUCUUAAUUAAUCGAAACUUCCUAUGUUUUCCUACAAUGCAUUUACUUUCUUAGUGCUACAAAAAUGCAACAACUAGAACGGUAGAUUUCCUACAUAUCAAUAUAAAUAGGUUACCAACUGAAAGUUUUUAUUAAACAUUCCAGCAUAAUCUUGGUGAGAUUUGAUUAUGGAAGUUUUGGGCCUUUAUAGUGCUUCUCUCUACUGCAGCUGCACUACACAUGAAUUGAGAAAUAUAUAUUGAUUCUUUCAUGCAAUUGAGUUUUUCUUUAUUCAAGGAAAUAAUUAAUGAUAUGUCCAAAUGUUCUUUUCUUAUACUGAACUAUUUAGUAACCUCAGUUCAGUUCUGGUUUGCCCAUGCAUGUUCUACAUUCAUGUUCCACAGAGUAGAUGUAUUUGUUGUUCUUUGCCACUAUAUCACUCUUCUAGCACAGGUCAUAGCUGUUGACAUGAAUUUUCCUUGCUCUAGAAAAUAUAUUUUCAUGUGAGGAGAUGCCGUGCCUGUAAGUCGAACUGUCCAAGCACCAAAACUAGAACUGCUAAUGAAUUGUUCCUGUGGGAAGACCAUAUCCCUAUUAAGAGAUGCAAUCACCAAAAUUCUUAUGCAAUAUCUUUUUUACCUCUGAAUUUGCAGCAAGAGAUUAUUCAAGAGAAAAAUAUUUGACAUUUUUUUACCUUAUUCCUUUUCAAAGGAUUGGCAUUAAUCAUACCUAUGCGAAGUCAUUAUGGAAGAUGAAAGAUCAGGGAAAUCAUAUUCGAGCUAACAAACCUGUGGAUCAUCUCAAAGAAUUGUUCUGGGUAUAUAGUUCAGUUCCAUAUAAAUAUUAACCUCAGUAUUUUUCCAAUGCAGAUAUUUCUCAUGCAUGUACAUGUGCCUCAGGAUUUGAAACCCCAACAGAAGAUUGGCAAUAUCUACUUCAAUGCUGUUUCUCAAGGAAGGGAAGGCCAAAUGAUGCCCAAGUAGGUCAUACAGGAAUGUUGUCUGUGCUGUCCAGAAAGUAAGAUCAGUUGGAAAUUAUGGAUGUUGGUGCUGCAUAUUGUAUCCAUUUUAUUUGUGUUUCGGAGUUCUUUGUCAAUGAUAUGUAUGCGUUUUUUUAUUCUUAGGGUUUGGGUAGCGGAGAUUAUGGUGAAAAAGAAACAUCAAAUAGUUAAUUUCACUAAUUUAUAUAUCAACAAUGUAUAUAUGCAACAUAUAUCUUCCAUGUAUCGCCUUAUGUAGAGCACCCUUUGGGGUGAGGAUAUAAUUAUGGUCUCCCUGCUUUUAAUAGUAGUAAUGAAUUAUGGAGGAUAAAUUUUAAAUA